rnacentral:rRNA from 1 species
CCUACGGGGGGCAGCAGUGAGGAAUAUUGGUCAAUGGCCGGAAGGCUGAACCAGCCAUGCCGCGUGAAGGGCAGGGACCUAUGGGCGUUAAACUUCUUUUGUGCGGGAGCAAUAAUGGUCACGUGUGGCCAGACGAGAGUACCGUACGAAUAAGCAUCGGCUAACUCCGUUCCAGCAGCCGCGGUAAUACGGGGGAUGCAAGCGUUAUCCGGAUUUAUUGGGGUUAAAGGGUGCGUAGGCUGUGAGGUAAGUCAGCGGUGAAAUGCCCCCGCUCAACGGGGUGAAGUGCCAUUGAUACUGCCUUGCUGGAAUGCGGAUGCCGUGGGAGGAAUGUGUGGUGUAGCGGUGAAAUGCAUAGAUAUCACACAGAACACCGAUUGCGAAGGCAUCUCACGAAUCCGCGAUUGACGCUGAUGCACGAAAGCGUGGGUAUCAAACAGGAUUAGAUACCCCAGUAGUC